rnacentral:rRNA from 1 species
ACACGUCUACAUUAGAUACCCGGGUAGUCCCAGCCGUAAACUAUGCGCGUUAGGUGUAUCGGUGACCACGAGUCACCGAGGUGCCGAAGGGAAACCGUGAAACGUGCCGCCUGGGAAGUACGGUCGCAAGGCUGAAACUUAAAGGAAUUGGCGGGGAGCACCACAACAGGUGGAGCCUGCGGUUUAAUUGGACUCAACGCCGGGAAGCUCACCGGAUAGGACAGCAGAAUGAUUGCCGGGCUGAAGACCCUGCAUGACUAGCUG